ACGAGGCAAAGCAGGAAGUUACAUACAAAAUAGGAGUGUCCAAACAAAAACUAAAGGCCAAGAAGGUUGACCUCAUGCAUCUGCUCUUAAGGCACAGAUGGAGCAGACCUAAGGAUGGGGGGAAAUCUUCUGCAUUGAAGUUGACCAACAUGGGCAUGGUGAAGGCGAUUGGGAUGGUGGAGGACAGAGAGGGAUAAAGGCAUACUGUGAUGGCUGUAACAUUGCAUUAGCCGCCCAACUCAGAAGAAGAAGAGGACACACACAUGUACAGUAGAUGGAUGCAAUUUUAUUAGAAAAUUGUUUACAUAAAAGAGUACAAAAAAUAUAAAAAAUAAAAGUAAGGCAGAUUAUUUUUUUUUUUCAAAUCAAAAGCAAAGGUUAGUUAUCAAAGCCGAAUGUAUGAUGUUGGAAUGCAUGCAUUGUCACUUCAAGAUGUAUUAUUUGGUGAUACGUUAGUAUGUUAGUCUACUGUGUACUGUUUCAAAGAUAA